UACGUAGGGUGCGAGCGUAAUCGGAAUUACUGGGCGUAAAGCGUGCGCAGGCGGUUCGUUGUGUCGGCGGUGAAAGCCCGGGCUCAACCUGGGAAUGGCCGUUGAAACUGGCGAACUGGAGUGUGGCAGAGGGGGUGGAAUUCCGCGUGUAGCAGUGAAAUGCGUAGAGAUGCGGAGGAACACCGAUGGCGAAGGCAGCCCCUGGGCUAACACUGACGCCUCAGGCACGAAAGCGUGGGAGCAAACAGG
rnacentral:rRNA from 1 species